rnacentral:lncRNA from 1 species
GGACAACAACAUGUGUGUUGUGUAUCUCUAUAAUCUUAAUUAUUAAGGAUAAAAUAUAUCUAAUUAAUAUUAUACAUUAAUUAUUCUCUCCAUGUAUGGGUUCUUCUUCUUCUUCUUCUUCUUCAAUUCAUUUUAGGAUGCGGAGGACGUCCACGAAAACGCCGUCCAGGUGUGUUUGCACCUGGUUCUGGAUAGUCCAUCAAACUCUCACCACUCUCUUCAACCUCUACAUUACCCUUUUUUUUGUUUUUCCACCCACCCAACAAUAACAACAAUAGUUUAUUAAAAUAAAACUUUUUUGACAAUAAUUAUUAUUAUUCAAUAAAAUUAUGGAAAGUUUAACAUAUUUUUUUCCUUUACUGAAAAAAAAGUAUUUUGUUUUACUGAUUAUUAAUUACCUUGUCUGAGGAAUAUUGAUCAACGGAAGUAACUCCAUUGUCCGCCAUAAACCCUAAGAAAACAAAAUGUAAAGACGUCGAUAUAUAUCAUUAUUACUUGGCUAUGUCUUAUGUAUUUUUCCUUGUAAAGACUAACUAACAAGUCUAAUUUUGACAAUUUUCUUGUAUAUGAUACAAAACUGUUACUCUUUAAACUUAAUCAAUGUGGUGUAAGUUUAUGAGCGGUUUACUUUUAUUAGGUUUAACAAGUGAUUUACCUGAGGAAAACGAUGAAAACAUGAUGAGCAAGAGCGAGAAGAAAAGCACCAACUUCAUCCUUGCCUUGUUUGUACGAUAAUAAUCGGGUUUGGAAUUGCUUUGUUUGUUGAUGAAUUAAAGUUUGCUAAUUAAGGGACUUUAA